CCCUCGGCAGCGCAGUUGGUUAGCGCGUCAGUCUCAUAAUCUGAAGGCCGUGAGUUCGAACCUCACCCGGGGCG
rnacentral:tRNA from 1 species